AACGCACGAGACCUGCGGACCUGCGGAAGGAUCAUUAAAGAGAGUUGACAAACUCCCUAAACCCCUGUGAACCUACCACUAUUUUCCUUCGGCAGGCGGCCCCAGGGCGGGGUCGUGGUCUGCCAUUGGCGCAGGCGCCUGCCGAAGACCCCCAAACUCUGCUAUAAUCAUUUAUCUGAGUCUUACAAAAAUGAAUCAAAACUUUUAGCAACGGAUCUCU
rnacentral:misc_RNA from 1 species